AUGGUCCCUUCUGCGCUCCCAAGAACCCCCCAAAAUAAGGCAUGCCCACGGGCCACCGGGGACACCUCUACUGGAAGGCCAGCCUUGGCUUUGGACAUAUUCAGCGCGGGUGCACCACACACUCCAGCUACCCAUUCUCCUGCCACCUGUGUCCUUGGCUGUCCAAACACGAGCUCCCCAUUCUGCAGUCAAGAUGGAGGCAGAGAAAUGGCAAUAGGCUGCCCACCAGCCUGGACACCUGCCUGGACACCCGCCGCCCUGCCCGAAGCGUCUCAGCAGUUCUUCCAUCUUUCUGGCUCGUGUUGUAGCCUAAUGUGAUCUAUCCAGGAAAAUGCUCCAAGUGAAGUUGAGAAGAAUGUGUAUUCUGCAGCUGUUGGGUGGAACGUUCCUUAAAUAGCUGUGAGGUACGUUUGAUCUACGGUUCAGUUUAAGUCCAAUGUUCCCUUGUUGACUUUUUGACUAAAUAAUCUAUCCAUUGUCGAAAGUAGGUGCUGACAUCCCCUACUAGUAUUGUAUUGGAGUCUAUCUCUCCCUUUAAAUCUAAUAACAUUUGCUUUAUGUAUCUGGGUGCUCUGGUGGUGGGUGCAUAUGUAAUUAUAAUUUUUAUAUCUUCUUGAUGAAUUGAUCCCUGUAUAGCAAAUAAGGCUUCCUGUCACAGGAGUCAUUAGAUAACAACCUAUUUGUUUCCUUAUACAGUUUUUCACUUAAAAUUUAUUUGAUCUGAUAUAAGUAUGGCUACCCUUACUUGAUCUUGGGUUCUGUUUGCAUGAAAAAUCUUUUUCUAUGUCUUUAUUCUCAGUCUGUUUGUCUUUGACAGUGAGGUGAGUAUCUUGUAGGCAACAUAUAGUUGGGUCUUGUUUUUUUCUUUUUUAAUUUUGACUACUCUGUAUAUUUUAAUUAGAUAAUUUAAUCCAUUUACAUUGAAAGAUAUUACUUAUAGAUAUGAACUAUUCCUGCCAUUCUGUUAGAAUUCCCUGGUUGCUUUGUUCCUUUCUUCCUCUCUUGUUGUUCACCUCUGUGGUUUGGUAGUUCUAUAGGAUGUUAAACUUUGUUUCCUUUCUCUCUCUCAUUUUUGUAUCUGCUCUAAUUUCUUUGUUUGGGUUAUCAUGGGGCUGACAUAAAGGGUCUUGUAUGUUAUAAUACAUUAUUUUAAGCUUAUAGCAAUUUAACUUUGGUUACAUGAAAAUAUUCUAGAUUUUUCCCUUUUUCAAAAAAAAAUCUAUGUUUGUGUUGCUGUAAUCUACUUUUGUAUAUAUUGUGGGUUCCUUAUUCAUUAAUUGCAGCUCUCGUAAUUUUGACUUGAAAACUUCAUAAUAGGCAAAGCGGGAAAUAAUGGAUAGGAAGCAGGACUAGACUGCAGCUCCCACUGAGACAGACAGAACAGCAUGUGGAGACUCUCUUUGUGACUUUUGCUCCAGAACUGCUGCAGGAAUAUACCAGGAAAGCUAAGAGAAUCCACAGACCCCUGAGGGAAAUGGAUUGCUCCUGUAGGACCCAGGAUACAGCCCAAAUACUGAGAGUGUCCCAGCUGUGAAAGUGACAAAGGGGGAUUGUCCUCUCCAGAACACACACCCUCACUGGAGAACCUGAAGAUCUAGAUCAUGGGAGAAGGAUUUGACCUUACCUGGACCUGAGUCAAUUUAGAGAGCCAAAGGAAAUACAGGGGUAGAGGAAGCAGCAGUAGAAGCCCUGUGGGCUCUCUGGGCCCCCAGCAGUCAUUUCAGACUGGUUUCACAGGAGUUUUGGGGGAGGGCUGCCAAAGAAAUUGGGAAAAGACCGCAGAGAGAGAGAAACCUCCAGGUGAACUUUAUAACAAUUCCAACCAAAUGUGAAGUCCCCUGGCCAGGACCUGGGGAAAGCAUAAAUUCAGCAUGCAGACUCAACGGAUGGGAACGCACAAAAUCCCUGCUUGCUUUCUCAGCUGGGAGGUUGGUAACCUGGGGCAAGUUCUCAGCCCUGCUCACCCACUACCUAGAAACCAACUCAGUACUGUUGGAGGGGUGGGCGUGGUGGAAGUGAGACUGGCCUUUUGGUCUGUGUGGGAGCUGAGUGAGGCCUAUAACUGCUGGUUUCCCCUGACAACCUGCAUGACACAGCAGCCAUAAUCCUCCUGGGAACAUAACUUCAUUGACCUGGGAACUACACCCCAUCCUCCACCGCAGCUGCAGCAAGUCCCACCCAAAGAGAGUCUGAGUUCAGACACCUCAUCUUGCCCCCACCUAAUGGUCCUUCCUUACCCACCCUGGUAGCUGAAGACAAAGGGCAUAUUCUCUUGAGAGUUCUAGGACACGUCCACUGCCUGAUCCUCCCCUACACACCACAGCUGAUGUUCUCUUGAAAGUGCCACCUCCUGGCAGGAGGUCCACCGGCACAUAAUUAGUGCAUUAAACAACCAAAACUAAGGACCCUCACAGAGUCCAUUUUACUCCCCUGCCACCUCCACCAGAGCAGGUUCUGAUAUCCAUGGCUGAGAGGUAUAAAGAUGGUUCAUAUCAUAGAACUCUGUGCAGACAACCCUCAGUACCAGCUUGGAGCCUGGUAGCCCUGCAGGGCGGCUAGAUCCAGAAGGGAGAUAACAUCACUACAGCUUGGCUCUCAGGAAGCCACAUCCCUAGGAAAAGGGGGAGAGUACUACAUCAAGGGAACACCCCGUGGGACAAAAGAAUCAGAACAGUAGCCUUGAUCCCCAGAUCUUCCCUCUGACAUAGCCUACCCAAAUGAUAAGGAACCACAAAAACAAUUCUGGUAAUAUGACAAAACAAGGUUCUUUCACACUUCUGAAACAUCACACUAACUCACCAGCAAUGAAUCCAAACCAAGAAAAAAAUCCCUGAUUUACCCAAAAAAAGAAUUCAGAAGGUUGAUUAUCAAGCUAAUGAGGAGACACCAGAGAAAAGUGAAGUCCAACUUAAGGAAAUCCAAAAAAGAUACAAAAACUGAGGGAGGAAGUCUUCAGAGAAAUAGCACAAAUAAAAAACAACCACAACUUCA
rnacentral:lncRNA from 13 species